GGGUUGUGAGGUUAAGCGACUAAGCGUACACGGUGGAUGCCCUGGCAGUCAGAGGCGAUGAAGGACGUGCUAAUCUGCGAAAAGCGCCGGCGAGGUGAUAUGAACCUUUGACCCGGCGAUGUCCGAAUGGGGAAACCCAGUGCAAUCCGUUGCACUAUCGUUAACUGAAUACAUAGGUUAACGAGGCGAACCGGGGGAACUGAAACAUCUAAGUACCCCGAGGAAAAGAAAUCAACCGAGAUUCCCCCAGUAGCGGCGAGCGAACGGGGAGCAGCCCGGAGUCUGAAUCAGCUUGUGUGUUAGUGGAACGGUCUGGAAAGUCCGACGGUACAGGGUGAUAGUCCCGUACACGAAAGCACACUUGCUGUGAACUCGAAGAGUAGGGCGGGACACGUGGUAUCCUGUCUGAAUAUGGGGACCAUCCUCCAAGGCUAAAUACUCCUGACUGACCGAUAGUGAACCAGUACCGUGAGGGAAAGGCGAAAAGAACCCCGGCGAGGGAGUGAAAAGAACCUGAAACCGUGUACGUACAAGCAGUGGGAGCCUCUUUAUGGGGUGACUGCGUACCUUUGUAUAAUGGGUCAGCGACUUAUAUUCUGUAGCAAGGUUAACCGUAUAGGGAGCCGAAGGAAACCGAGUCUUAACUGGGCGUUAAGUUGCAGGGUAUAGACCCGAAACCCGGUGAUCUAGCCAUGGGCAGGUUGAAGGUUGGGUAACACUAACUGGAGGACCGAACCGACUAAUGUUGAAAAAUUAGCGGAUGACCUGUGGCUGGGGUGAAAGGCCAAUCAAACCGGGAGAUAGCUGGUUCUCCCGAAAGCUAUUUAGGUAGCGCCUCGUGAACUCAUCUUCGGGGUAGAGCACUGUUUCGGCUAGGGGCCAUCCCGGCUUACCAACCCGAUGCAAACUACGAAUACCGAAGAAUGUUAUCACGGGAGACACACGGCGGGUGCUAACGUCCGUCGUGAAGAGGGAAACAACCCAGACCGCCAGCUAAGGUCCCAAAGUCAUGGUUAAGUGGGAAACGAUGUGGGAAGGCACAGACAGCCGGAUGUUGGCUUAGAAGCAGCCAUCAUUUAAAGAAAGCGUAAUAGCUCACUGGUCGAGUCGGCCUGCGCGGAAGAUGUAACGGGGCUAAACCAUGCACCGAAGCUGCGGCAGCGACACUAUGUGUUGUUGGGUAGGGGAGCGUUCUGUAAGCCGUUGAAGGUGGCCUGUGAGGGUUGCUGGAGGUAUCAGAAGUGCGAAUGCUGACAUAAGUAACGAUAAAGCGGGUGAAAAGCCCGCUCGCCGGAAGACCAAGGGUUCCUGUCCAACGUUAAUCGGGGCAGGGUGAGUCGACCCUAAGGCGAGGCCGAAAGGCGUAGUCGAUGGGAAACAGGUUAAUAUUCCUGUACUUGGUGUUACUGCGAAGGGGGACGGAGAAGGCUAUGUCAGCCGGGCGACGGUUGUCCCGGUUUAAGCAUGUAGGCGGAGGUUCCGGUAAAUCCGGUACCUUAUUAACGCUGAGGUGUGAUGACGAGGCACUACGGUGCUGAAGUGAUAAAUGCCCUGCUUCCGGAAAAGCCUCUAAGCAUCAGGUAACACGAAAUCGUACCCCAAACCGACACAGGUGGUCAGGUAGAGAAUACCAAGGCGCUUGAGAGAACUCGGGUGAAGGAACUAGGCAAAAUGGUGCCGUAACUUCGGGAGAAGGCACGCUGAUGUGUAGGUGAAGCCCCUGCGGGCGGAGCUGAAAUCAGUCGAAGAUACCAGCUGGCUGCAACUGUUUAUUAAAAACACAGCACUGUGCAAACACGAAAGUGGACGUAUACGGUGUGACGCCUGCCCGGUGCCGGAAGGUUAAUUGAUGGGGUUAGCGGCAACGCGAAGCUCUUGAUCGAAGCCCCGGUAAACGGCGGCCGUAACUAUAACGGUCCUAAGGUAGCGAAAUUCCUUGUCGGGUAAGUUCCGACCUGCACGAAUGGCGUAAUGAUGGCGGUGCUGUCUCCACCCGAGACUCAGUGAAAUUGAACUCGCUGUGAAGAUGCAGUGUACCCGCGGCAAGACGGAAAGACCCCGUGAACCUUUACUAUAGCUUGACACUGAACACUGGUCCUUGAUGUGUAGGAUAGGUGGGAGGCUUUGAAGCGUGGACGCCAGUCUGCGUGGAGCCAACCUUGAAAUACCACCCUUUAAUGGCUGGUGUUCUAACGUAGACCCGUAAUCCGGGUUGCGGACAGUGUCUGGUGGGUAGUUUGACUGGGGCGGUCUCCUCCCAAAGAGUAACGGAGGAGCACGAAGGUUGGCUAAUCCUGGUCGGACAUCAGGAGGUUAGUGCAAUGGCAUAAGCCAGCUUGACUGCGAGCGUGACGGCGCGAGCAGGUGCGAAAGCAGGUCAUAGUGAUCCGGUGGUUCUGAAUGGAAGGGCCAUCGCUCAACGGAUAAAAGGUACUCCGGGGAUAACAGGCUGAUACCGCCCAAGAGUUCAUAUCGACGGCGGUGUUUGGCACCUCGAUGUCGGCUCAUCACAUCCCGGGCUGAAGUAGGUCCCAAGGGUAUGGCUGUUCGCCAUUUAAAGUGGUACGCGAGCUGGGUUUAGAACGUCGUGAGACAGUUCGGUCCCUAUCUGCCGUGGGCGCUGGAGAAUUGAGGGGGGCUGCUCCUAGUACGAGAGGACCGGAGUGGACGCAUCACUGGUGUUCGGGUUGUCAUGCCAAUGGCACUGCCCGGUAGCUAAAUGCGGAAGAGAUAAGUGCUGAAAGCAUCUAAGCACGAAACUUGCCCCGAGAUGAGUUCUCCCUGAGACCUUGAGUCUCCUGAAGGAACGUUGAAGACGACGACGUUGAUAGGUCGGGUGUGUAAGCGCAGCGAUGCGUUGAGCUAACCGAUACUAAUGAACCGUGAGGCUUAACCUUACAACGCCGAAGGUGUUU
rnacentral:rRNA from 1 species